GACGAACGCUGGCGGCGUGCCUAAUACAUGCAAGUCGAGCGAGCUUGCCUAGAUGAAUUUGGUGCUUACACCAAAUGAAACUAGAUACAAGCGAGCGACGGACGGGUGAGUAACACGUGGGUAACCUGCCCAAGAGACUGGGAUAACACCUGGAAACAGAUGCUAAUACCGGAUAACAACACUAGACGCAUGUCUAGAGUUUAAAAGAUGGUUCUGCUAUCACUCUUGGAUGGACCUGCGGUGCAUUAGCUAGUUGGUAAGGUAACGGCUUACCAAGGCAAUGAUGCAUAGCCGAGUUGAGAGACUGAUCAGCCACAUUGGGACUGAGACACGGCCCAAACUCCUACGAGAGGCAGCAGUAGGGAAUCUUCCACAAUGGACGCAAGUCUGAUGGAGCAACGCCGCGUGAGUGAAGAAGGGUUUCGGCUCGUAAAGCUCUGUUGGUAGUGAAGAAAGAUAGAGGUAGUAACUGGCCUUUAUUGACGGUAAUACUAGAAAGUC
rnacentral:rRNA from 1 species